rnacentral:pre_miRNA from 1 species
AGAGGUGAAAACAAUGGGAUAUGCCUGGCUCCCUGUAUGCCACUCGCGUAGCUGCCAACUCCCCAAACCUUGCGUUGGCUCUACCGCGGAUGGCGUGCGAGGAGCCAAGCAUGACCGUCUCUCUCUCUCUCUCUCUCUCUCUCUCUC